GUGUCAGCCGCCGCGGUAAUACGAAGGGGGCUAGCGUUGUUCGGAAUCACUGGGCGUAAAGCGCACGUAGGCGGAUCUUUAAGUCAGAGGUGAAAUCCCAAGGCUCAACCUUGGAACUGCCUUUGAUACUGGAGAUCUUGAGUCCGGGAGAGGUGAGUGGAACUGCGAGUGUAGAGGUGAAAUUCGUAGAUAUUCGCAAGAACACCAGUGGCGAAGGCGGCUCACUGGCCCGGUACUGACGCUGAGGUGCGAAAGCGUGGGGAGCAAACAGGAUUAGAUACCCCUGUAGUCC
rnacentral:rRNA from 1 species